AACGAACGCUGACGGCAUGCCUAACACAUGCAAGUCGAACGAGACCUUCGGGUCUAGUGGCGCACGGGUGCGUAACACGUGGGAAUUUGCCUCGGGGUAUGGAAUAACUCAGGGAAACUUGAGCUAAUACCAUAUAAUGUCUUCGGACCAAAGAUUUAUCGCCCUGAGAUAAGCCCGCGUAGGAUUAGCUAGUUGGUGAGGUAAAGGCUCACCAAGGCGACGAUCCUUAGCUGGUCUGAGAGGAUGAUCAGCCACACUGGGACUGAGACACGGCCCAGACUCCUACGGGAGGCAGCAGUGGGAAUAUUGGACAAU
rnacentral:rRNA from 1 species